CAGGCUCAUUCAACAGAGAUGAUGAACCAUUCAAUGAAUGCAAGAAGCUUCUUCAAGCGAGCAUGAGGCAACUACUUGUAAAAGAUAUCGAAAUAGGGAAACUGAACGCUAGAGUCCAAGAUGCUGAGGAAGGUCUGCGUGCAAAGGAUGCAGGUAAAACAAAUUUGCUCAAAUAAUAUGUUUUCUUUAACUGGUGGUUCCACUAGCAUCUAACCCCAUCAGAAAUUCGCGUGACGUUCUUUUGCGUCAGUCUUUCAGAGGUCGGCAUCGGCAACAUGCCAAGUUUACGGAUGAUCCGAAGAUUGGUGGAAGGGCAAUUCUGUGACGGAAAAGGAAAUUUGCAGAAAGACGUCAGCAGGUUGGGAGAGAGGCCUAAAUGGGUCAAAAUGGCAACGGAAUACAAAGUAGUAAAAUGUACGGACAUGCACUUCUCAAUAGAGAAUAACGACGAAGAAUGAUUUCCAAAUCGGAGGUGCAAGAGGUCGUGAAUGUACUGGUGCGGGAUUCUCCACAAUCCUUCCUGUCAUUCUCCAAUCCUCAUUGUAGCACAGCUAUCCCCAUUCAUAUCGCUAUAAAACUCUGAUACAUCUCACACAUUCGAUGUACACGCUGAUGUAUCUCAAAACCAUCGCUCGAACACCCGAAUACUCAAUUGACAACCCAUUGUUACACUCCUGUACAAUCCAUAACCUCUCUAUAACGCUCUGGUACAACCGCACCUCGUCAAUGAAGCAUUGUGAUAGACCACCUCAUCCUGCACCGCUGUGCAACUCUGAUGGAGGCAGCACCCUUCGCUGCACAUUUCUGAUUAAUCGAAUCAGGGAAUACAUGGAAUAAUUGAAUGUCACCACAUGAAAUCAGACACUGUCGCAAACGGCUACAUUUUUUCAAAUUGAUACACGGUG